UGGCGCCCAAGCUUGGGACCCGAGGCACGGGGGAUUCCGUGAAGAACGCCGUUCAUCAAAGAAGACUGCAGUCAUUUCCCUAAUCAAGAGGUCGCCGCGAGCACGCCCAGUUCGUGAAGGAAAGACCUGGAAGGAAUGAAGAACGAUCAUGGUCCUACUUCGCCAGAUGACUGUCUGCAUCCUGAUGCUGGUAAUGAUGGCCAAAUCUACACCUCACUUACCCCUUAAACUUACCUGGGUGGUGCAAAAUGAACAGGGGAACACAAUCUUCUCCAAUACCAGCAUUACACCCAUGAGUUCCUGGUUCCUGGAUAUUUAUAUAUCCAGGGAAAAUUUUUUCCCUUGUACCCAGUGGGGUUACACAUACCUAGCACACUUCUAUGUUUGCCCUGCAGCAGAAUUCCAUAAGCGGGGUUGUAGAGGAGCUUCUGACUAUUACUGUUACAAAUGGGGGUGUGAAACCUCUGGCAGGGUCUACUGGACCAUCCCUGACAAAUCAGACCUGAUAAAGGUCACCCUAAAAUCAUAUGAUGCCAGUGGCUCUGGUUAUUAUUAUUACUAUUUCUUUUUUUUGUUUUUUUUUUAAUAUUUAUUUUAUUUAUUUAUUCCCCUUUGUUGCCCUUGUUGUUUUAUUGUUGUAGUUAUUAUUGUUGUUGUCGUUGUUGGAUAGGACAGAAAGAAAUGGAGAGAGGAGGGGAAGACAGAGAGGAGGAGAGAAAGAUAGACACCUGAAGACCUGCUUCACCGCCUCUGAAGCGACUCCCCUGCAGGUGGGGAGCCGGGGUUCGAACCAGGAUCCUUAUGCCGGUCCUUGUGCUUUGCACCACCUGCGCUUAACCCGCUGCGCUACAGCCCGACUCCCUAUUAUUACUAUUUCUAUAACUGUAAUGCCGGCACUCCCCUAUAUCCCACACUCAAGAUUAGUUUUACAGAUAUAGGAAAAAAGGCCGAUUGGACCUCUCCCAAAACUUGGGGAAUUAGACUAUACAAUCCAAAUGACGUUGACCAUGGAACCCUUUUUUCCAUAUUCCUUAAAAAGGAGAUACCUGAGGGCAUGGGAAUAGGACCUAACCUAGUUCUCAAACCCCCUGAAGCCCCUGCAGCUUGGCCUCCUGCCCCUGCCUCCCCUGAACUACCUGUCGAGAACUCCAUGGCCUUCACUCCCUCACAAACUGUGGGCCUUUCCACACUGGCUACUUAUAAUCCACUAAGGAGACUUUGAUUACCCUUAUCAACCAUACUUUCCUAACCCUAAAUCAUUCAAGGCCAGACCUUACUAAUUCAUGCUGGCUGUGCUACAAUGCAAACCCCCCUUUUAUAAAGGAAUAGCUACCCCUGGCAUGUAUAAUGUCUCCACGAAUCCUCAUGACUGCCGAUGGAAUCAACUGGGAUCCACUAAACUAACUCUUCAGUAGGUCACGGGACAAGGUUCUGUGCGUAGGAACUGUUCCCCCCAGCCAUCAGAGGCUAUGCAACCAGACUGUUUCUAAUUUCACUAGCUCCCUGGACGGUUCCUGUCUUGUCCCACCUGACACGGCCUGGUGGGCAUGUAGUGAUGGCCUCACCCCCUGUGUCUUUACCCAGUUUCUUAAGAAAAAGGAUAACCAAUCACUUUUCUGUAUUUUGGUACAAUUAAUCCCCAGGUUGAUUUAUUAUACAGAAGAGCAGUUUGCACGCACCUGGGACCCAAUAAAUGAUCAAAGAUUGCUCAGGCCACGUCAGGAACUUGUAUCCGCAGCCACCCUUGCGGUCCUGCUAGGGCUGGGGGCAGGAGGGACCGGGGUGGGGCAUAACGUCUCUCGUUCUUUCCAACAAAUAUUAUUCAGAUCUGCAUUUAUCUAUUGAUGAAGACCUCGAGAGACUUGAAACCACUAUUUCCCACCUUGAGAAAUCCCUUUCCUUGCUUGCUGAGGUUGUCCUCCAGAACCGAAGAGGCCUAGACUUGCUUCUCCUCCAGCAAGGAGGCCUUUGUGCAGCUCUUAAAGAAGAAUGUUGCUUCUAUAUGGAUCACUCUGGGGUGGUCAAAGACUCUAUGGCCAAGGUCAGAGAGGGGUUAGAACAUAGAAAGAGACAAAGAGAGCAAGAGCAGAGCUGGUUCCAGAACUGGUUUUCCGCCUCUCCCUGGCUAACAACUCUUCUACCCUCCUUGGUAGCACCCCUCAUAGGCCUGUUACUCCUCCUUUCUUUUGGACCUUGGGUCCUCAAAAAACUGACCAGUUUAGUAAAACAACAAGUAGAAGCUUUUCAAGCAAAGCCUAUACAGGUCCACUACCACAGGCUAGACUUAGCCAACUGAGGCCUGGCCGAAGAUUAACGGCCUUUUCUGGAUAACCCCGCCUAAGACAGGGACAGGGCCAAGGCUGCUCUGAUACCCUAUGACGGGUAAGGGGAGAUCCACUUAUCAGGGACCCAUUUGCCAAUGACGGGACUUAGCAUGUCUGUCACUUUCACCUGCCUGGUUGCCAACCUAAGAUAGGAAACUCCAGCCAAUGAUAGCUGCUGGGGCUUCAGUGAUGGGUAAGGAACCUAUGUGAAAGAGACUCGCACGACAUGUAGCCUAAGACAGGCGUGGGUCACCUAGGCCUCUUCCAUUUUUUAUAUGGUAAUAAAAAGGGAGACAUGCGGGAAACCGCCCCCUCAGGGACCUCUGGUUUGAGGAACAAGCUACUCCAUCCUGUAUAAAAACUCCAUUAACCAUAAGCCUGCCUGACACGUACACAGGCAAGGCCACCCCUCACCCACUUCCAAGAUAUGUUUACUUAACCUCUGCAGCUUCACUUCUUCCUGGAACAGUUCCACAAUUAGCAGUACAGAUAUGACCAAAGAUGGUAAGGAAAGAACAUUCCAUGGUUAGGUAACCAUAGCAACCCCACUUAAGCAAAUCCCUCCAGACUCCAAAGCCAGCCUUAAAUACAUGUGGAAAAUUUUCAAUAAACGUGACUUGAUCAGA